rnacentral:rRNA from 1 species
CAGUCUGCAUGGAGCCGGCCUUGAAAUACCACCCUUUAAUGUUUGAUGUUCUAACGUUGGCCCGUAAUCCGGGUUGCGGACAGUGUCUGGUGGGUAGUUUGACUGGGGCGGUCUCCUCCUAAAGAGUAACGGAGGAGCACGAAGGUUGGCUAAUCCUGGUCGGACAUCAGGAGGUUAGUGCAAUGGCAUAAGCCAGCUUGACUGCGAGCGUGACGGCGCGAGCAGGUGCGAAAGCAGGUCAUAGUGAUCCGGUGGUUCUGAAUGGAAGGGCCAUCGCUCAACGGAUAAAAGGUACUCCGGGGAUAACAGGCUGAUACCGCCCAAGAGUUCAUAUCGACGGCGGUGUUUGGCACCUCGAUGUCGGCUCAUCACAUCCUGGGGCUGAAGUAGGUCCCAAGGGUAUGGCUGUUCGCCAUUUAAAGUGGUACGCGAGCUGGGUUUAGAACGUCGUGAGACAGUUCGGUCCCUAUCUGCCGUGGGCGCUGGAGAACUGAGGGGGGCUGCUCCUAGUACGAGAGGACCGGAGUGGACGCAUCACUGGUGUUCGGGUUGUCAUGCCAAUGGCACUGCCCGGUAGCUAAAUGCGGAAGAGAUAAGUGCUGAAAGCAUCUAAGCACGAAACUUGCC